ensembl:lncRNA
UUGAUCCAUAUGAUUCUUUAUGAUAGCGUUUUUAAUUAGAACUGUAAUGUGCAAAUUAAAUUUAAGAAAAAGUAUAUGAGGAGUUUGUAAAAAAAGAAAAGGUGAUUUCAAAGCUGGAGAAUAUUAGUGGUCAUCCAAUAUAUUUAGCAUGUGGUUAACUACUUAAUAUGUUUUAUUGUGUCUUUUUAAAGUCAGAAUUCCUAUAUUAUGUAUAUAUUUUUCAAAUGACAUUUGAAUAAAAUAGUAAAAGGCAUCAAAAGUGAGGAAGGGCACUUCUGGACUUGGAGAAACCUCUCAGGUUUGAUAAUAACAUUUUGAGUCAUCUAAAUUCAUACCUAUUAUCACUUAAGUGAACAUUGAUGCUGCUUCUGGAUCUUAUACAAAUAUUCAGAUUUUUGUUUUCCUCAUCAUUCUGAAGGUUAUCUCCCUGGUCGCUCUGAAAAUCAGGUGACAGCCAUUUCCCAUGAUGCUUUAAGUGCUGUCAAACUGUCCAUCAAGCUGUCACCUGACCAAUCGUUCCCAUGGUUCUUUUAGACUUCCAGUAUGAUAAAUUGAAAAGCACCAUUAUCUGUCUGUUGUGAAGAGGAACUGUUUGGGCUUUGAUAAGAUAUCACUACUCCCAGAAUGUCUAUUAGAAUCAUCCAGAGCAUGGAUUGGACUGAUGCUGAAGCUCCAGUACUUUGGCCACCUGAUGAGAAGAGCUGACUCCCUGGAGGAGACCCUGAUGCUUUGAAAGAUUGAGGGCAAGAGGAAAAGGGGGUGACAGAGGAUGAGAUAGUUGGAUGGCAUCACAGACUCAAUGGACAUGAGUUUAAGCAAAUUCCGGGAGAUAGUCAAGGACAGGGGAGCCUGAUGUGCUGCAGCCCAUGGGGUCACAAAGAGUUGGACAUGACUGAGUGACUGAACAAUAACAACAACAACGCACACAGAUUAGGAAAGUCCCAAAUUUCAAUCAUCUCUAUGGAAUGGCCUUGAAACAGCAAUGCUCAUGACUACUUAUGAAAUAUCUUCUGUGACAGACAGAUAAUAGACACUCCACCCAUCCUGUCUUAUAAAAAGUAUCUUAUUAUAAAAUGACAAACAUAUAGAAAACAAGAAUAUUAUAAAACCAUGGGUGCACAUUAGUCAUUUUCCAUUUGAUAAGGUCUUUUAAAAUGUAAUAAAAUAUUAUUGAAAUAAUUGAAUUCUCCUGUG